UUCGGCAAAUUUAGCUGGUUUCUAGUGGCGGACGGGUGAGUAACGCGUGGGUAACCUGCCUUGUACAGGGGGAUAACAGUCAGAAAUGACUGCUAAUACCGCAUAAGCGCACAGGACCGCAUGAUCCAGUGUGAAAAACUCCGGUGGUAUGAGAUGGACCCGCGUCUGAUUAGCUAGUUGGUGAGAUAACAGCCCACCAAGGCGACGAUCAGUAGCCGACCUGAGAGGGUGACCGGCCACAUUGGGACUGAGACACGGCCCAGACUCC
rnacentral:rRNA from 1 species